GUUUCAAUUCCUCAUAGGCAGGCUAUCGGCUUUGACAUUGUAAAUUCUGAGAUUGAUCGCCUUGUCAUG
rnacentral:sRNA from 1 species